rnacentral:lncRNA from 1 species
CCUUGUAAUUGUUUUUCUGUGUAUGUCAGAUGUGACAGUGGGAACCACAGUCACUCAACUACAAAAUUUAAAUACAAUAAAAACAACUGGAUCCUGAGGUGGAUCCUGAGGGUCCAAGUGGUAGCACUCAGUCAUCAAAGACAAGGUGCCUGUCUGUCUUCUGCUACACUUCAUCCUGCCAAUACUGUUUACAGAGAGAAACCUCCAGGCCAAUGCCAAGCUGCCUUUAGUCCUACCCAACUCCCCGAGCCUCCUGUCCUCACUGGUGCCAAAGAACUAGAGAAAACUGAGGUUGCGGAGGGCUGCUCUUCCAAAAUAACCACAACUGUCAGCACGCCAGGAAUCAACAUUAUCUUCUUCUUCUGUGGAAGUAUCUUUAUUUGUUUCAAAGGCAAUUUUAUUCAUUUCUAUCUAAUGCUAUAUAAGGUAAGUGGGAGAAACUCAUUAACUCGAAGCAUAUCAUUUUCAUCUACUGCAAAUAAGCUGAUCAUACAGUGCUCUUUGCACACAGCUUUGAAGUUUGGCUCUGACUUUAGGAUGUUUAGCAGUGUUUUCCCACAGUCACCCAGAGAGAACUUACAGAAGGGGUCAUAG